AAUUCUCAACUAUACAAGUUUUUUAAACAUGUAUAGCUUGGAUCUUGGGAUUUGCGGGCUUUCACAAGUCGGCUAUCCUUAAAUGCAUUAGCAGUGCUUUUGCCGCUAAACUCUAGUGUGAUAAUUAUCUACGCUAUUGUGCAGCUGCAUGAAUAGAGCUUUGCUUCUAAUCGUCUUCACAGACAAUAUUUGACAAU
rnacentral:misc_RNA from 1 species